CGGAGGGGCGUCUCGGGGCCUGGCAGGAGCCGCGCUGCCUAGAGUCCGGCAUGCAUUGCGCUCCCCGGCCUGGCGGUGCUACUGGGGCAACCGCGUGUCCCCCUCCUCUCCCCCGCGGCCCCCUGUGAAGGGGACAGCAUCCCAGUGCUGCCAUGGCGUCACGCUCCGUGACGUCACAGUCACACGGGGUGACAUCAUAGGAUGCCAGGGAGACACCAUCUUGCUGCUGUUGGUUACACUCAGUGACAUCACAGUCACACAGGGUGACAUCAUAGGAUGCCAGGGAGACACCAUCUUGUUGCUAUUGCAUCAUCUGUGAGCAACAAGCUCAGCAGAAAGCAGCAGGGAAGGCCUCUGGCACAUGUAGGACAAAAAUCUCUCUGUGCUCUCAAGCUGCAGUCUUCCAUUCAGUUCCCAGAGCUCAGACACUGGUUGUGCUAAGAGAUACCUGAGAGGGCACUGUAGGCAUAGCAUGCAAAUGAGCUCAGCAAAUUCUGGAUUCCUGCCACACAACAACACACCUACGAGACACAGCAGAGAGAGAAAACAAAAACCACCAGAACCCAAACAGGCUGAAAUACUCGGACACACAACCGGGCCAUGGAAGGAGCUGGGGGAUCCAGAAAGCAUGCAUUGUAAGGAGACAACCCGGCACACAGAUACGUAUGUGCACGCUUGUUUACGUUCGUGUGGGAUGCUGCAUCUUUGCUGUGUGUUGAGACAGGGCAGGGACAGGGACAGAAGCAGCUUUAAUUGUUUUAUCUUGUUGUUGUUGUUGAGCGGAUGGGUAAUCGAGACUGUAUUUCUUAUCACCCACGGAGCCAUACAAAGCACAUAUCAAAACACAGACGGGGUCUAUUAGAGCAUCUUGCUAUAAACAACCUCAGUGCCACAGCCUGUCCUCGGUUACCCUGGGGAAGCUCUACUGACUCCAUCUGGCUCUCCGAAGCGUUAACUGGCAAGAGCUGGAGGUGGGGUUCUGUUCCCAGUGCUGCUGUUGACUGCCUGCUCCACAAUAAGUCAUUUCACUUGGCUGUGCCUUAGUUUCCUGGCCAUCAACUGGCAAAAGUAUCUGCCCACAUUUACAAAGGGCUUUGAGCUCUAUGCCUGAAAAAGCAUGAUACAGAGUACUAUUUGUAUCCAAAAAACAGCUCCCCGUGGCAGCACUGGUUUUGGGGAUAUUGGAUCAAUACAGAGAUAGAGUCAUCUGAGUCACUAACUCACCUGCUGACACCAUUGACACUCCUCCACUGAGGGCCAGACUCGCUAAUAAUGACUGAACUGAGCUGUGCCUCACGUAAAAUCCAAUCUUACCCCACAGGUGAGUGGAACUGGUCCCUACUGUACAGCACUCCUGUCUAUUUUAGACAGGCAAACUGUAGAGCUCUCCCAUCCAACUACUAAUCAGGCCCAAUCCUGCUGAUCUUCAGAAACACGAUGAAAUGCUGCCAGGAAGUAGUACAGCUGCAUAGCAACAAGCUGCUGCCUUUGCAAUGCUAGUGCACCUGCUCCAUUUGAAAUCGGCUCCAAAGCCCACUGACCCUAAUGGGAGCCUUUCCAUUGACUUCAUGAGCUUCGGAGCAGCUAAGAAGAGCCGCAGCAGGACUACAGUUGGACUAGGGCAGCUGAUUCAGGCUUGCGGGGCUAAUGCCCCGGGGCAAACAAUUGCUGGUAGAGACUCACGCUCAGACUGUAACCCGGGCUCUGAAACUCGGCAAGGCGGGUGGUCUAAGAGCGGAAGCGCCAAGCGUCUACUCUGCUAGUUUUAGCCUCGCUGCCCGAGCCAGAGUCGGCUGAUAUAGACACCAAGACACAGUGCUGGGGGUGUUGUGGGGGAGGUGUUACUGCAGGGGAGGUGCACCCUUUGAGUUGGGUGGAGCCAAAUCAUGCAGCUCUCUGUGCACUGAGCUCUUCCUGGAACCAGUGAGGGCUCCGGUGGGAUUGGGCACCGGGAAUGGAAUUCUCUCUACAUGGAGUCCCUGCAGCUGAAACAAGGUGCGGGGGGUGAGGGGAGGACAGGGGAGAUAAAGCUUGGGAGAGGGGAGGAGUCUAUCACAUUUGUGUUUAAAUAACACCGAUGUAUUUGUAUGAAUCAUUCAUUAUUCCCGUAUAACUAUAUGCAUCUGCAUGCAAAUAACUGCAAUGACGUACACGGUUAUAAAA